AGGAUGAACGCUGGCGGCGUGCCUAACACAUGCAAGUCGAACGUCCUGUCUCGCAAGAGGCAGGGAGUGGCGGACGGGUGAGUACCACGUGGGUCAUCUACCGUGAGGUGAGGAAUACCGGCGAGAAAUCGCCGACAAGACCGCAUAGGCUCGAUGCAAGUCGAGCAAAGCUCUCUCGAGAGAGGGAGCGCCACACGAGGAGCCUGCGCCCGAUUAGCUAGCUGGUGGAGUAACGGUUCACCAGGGCGACGAUCGGUAGCUGGUCUGAGAGGACGAUCAGCCACACUGGGAUUGAGAACGGCCCAGACUCCUACGGGGGGCAGCAGUGAGGAAUUUUCGUCAAGUGGGGGCAACCCGUGAACGAGCAACGCCGCGUGCAGGAAGAAGGUUUUCGGAUCGUAAACUGUCUUUUCGUCGGGGAAGAGGAACGGACGGUACCCGAGGAAUCGACGCCCGGACUAACGUACGCGCCAGCAGCCGCGGU
rnacentral:rRNA from 1 species